rnacentral:rRNA from 1 species
GAUAAACGCUGGCGGCGUGCCUAAUACAUGCAAGUCGAGCGAACGGACGAGAAGCUUGCUUCUCUGAUGUUAGCGGCGGACGGGUGAGUAACACGUGGAUAACCUACCUAUAAGACUGGGAUAACUUCGGGAAACCGGAGCUAAUACCGGAUAAUAUUUUGAACCGCAUGGUUCAAAAGUGAAAGACGGUCUUGCUGUCACUUAUAGAUGGAUCCGCGCUGCAUUAGCUAGUUGGUAAGGUAACGGCUUACCAAGGCAACGAUGCAUAGCCGACCUGAGAGGGUGAUCGGCCACACUGGAACUGAGACACGGUCCAGACUCCUACGGGAGGCAGCAGUAGGGAAUCUUCCGCAAUGGGCGAAAGCCUGACGGAGCAACGCCGCGUGAGUGAUGAAGGUCUUCGGAUCGUAAAACUCUGUUAUUAGGGAAGAACAUAUGUGUAAGUAACUGUGCACAUCUUGACGGUACCUAAUCAGAAAGCCACGGCUAACUACGUGCCAGCAGCCGCGGUAAUACGUAGGUGGCAAGCGUUAUCCGGAAUUAUUGGGCGUAAAGCGCGCGUAGGCGGUUUUUUAAGUCUGAUGUGGAAGCCCACGGCUCAACCGUGGAGGGUCAUUGGAAACUGGAAAACUUGAGUGCAGAAGAGGAAAGUGGAAUUCCAUGUGUAGCGGUGAAAUGCGCAGAGAUAUGGAGGAACACCAGUGGCGAAGGCGACUUUCUGGUCUGUAACUGACGCUGAUGUGCGAAAGCGUGGGGAUCAAACAGGAUUAGAUACCCUGGUAGUCCACGCCGUAAACGAUGAGUGCUAAGUGUUAGGGGGUUUCCGCCCCUUAGUGCUGCAGCUAACGCAUUAAGCACUCCGCCUGGGGAGUACGACCGCAAGGUUGAAACUCAAAGGAAUUGACGGGGACCCGCACAAGCGGUGGAGCAUGUGGUUUAAUUCGAAGCAACGCGAAGAACCUUACCAAAUCUUGACAUCCUUUGACAACUCUAGAGAUAGAGCCUUCCCCUUCGGGGGACAAAGUGACAGGUGGUGCAUGGUUGUCGUCAGCUCGUGUCGUGAGAUGUUGGGUUAAGUCCCGCAACGAGCGCAACCCUUAAGCUUAGUUGCCAUCAUUAAGUUGGGCACUCUAAGUUGACUGCCGGUGACAAACCGGAGGAAGGUGGGGAUGACGUCAAAUCAUCAUGCCCCUUAUGAUUUGGGCUACACACGUGCUACAAUGGACAAUACAAAGGGCAGCGAAACCGCGAGGUCAAGCAAAUCCCAUAAAGUUGUUCUCAGUUCGGAUUGUAGUCUGCAACUCGACUACAUGAAGCUGGAAUCGCUAGUAAUCGUAGAUCAGCAUGCUACGGUGAAUACGUUCCCGGGUCU